UGCCAGCAGCCGCGGUAAUACGGAGACUGCGAGCGUUACUCGGAUUUACUGGGCGUAAAGGGUCCGUAGGCGGCCACGUGUGUCGGGUGUGAAAUCCUGCAGCUCAACUGCAGAACUGCGCCCGAAACUACAUGGCUAGAGUAUUGGAGAGGUGAGUGGAAUUCCUGGUGUAGCGGUGAAAUGCGUAGAUAUCAGGAGGAACACCAACGGCGAAGGCAGCUCACUGGACAAUUACUGACGCUGAGGGACGAAAGCAUGGGGAGCGAAAGGGAUUAGAUA
rnacentral:rRNA from 1 species